rnacentral:rRNA from 1 species
AUUGAACGCUGGCGGAAUGCUUUACACAUGCAAGUCGAACGGUAGAGGGGGCAACCCCUCGAGAGUGGCGAACGGGUGAGUAAUAUAUCGGAACGUGCCCAGUCGUGGGGGAUAACGUAGCGAAAGUUACGCUAAUACCGCAUACGAUCUACGGAUGAAAGCGGGGGACUCGCAAGAGCCUCGCGCGAUUGGAGCGGCCGAUAUCAGAUUAGGUAGUUGGUGGGGUAAAGGCUCACCAAGCCAACGAUCUGUAGCUGGUCUGAGAGGACGACCAGCCACACUGGAACUGAGACACGGUCCAGACUCCUACGGGAGGCAGCAGUGGGGAAUAUUGGACAAUGGGGGAAACCCUGAUCCAGCGACGCCGCGUGGGUGAAGAAGGCCUGCGGGUUGUAAAGCCCUUUCGGUAGGGACGAAAGCUCUUGCCCUAAUAAGGCAGGAGGUUGACUUAACCUACAUAAGAAGCACCGGCUAACUCUGUGCCAGCAGCCGCGGU